AAAUCAUAAAUAGCUUGUUUUAUAAAACUUUAUUCAACCGUAAGAAAAUUAUUUGAAUGCUUUAAUGCUGAUGCUUUGGAAAUAUAAACAAGACACAGCACUUCAUUUUAUUUAAUAAUUGUUAUGAUAACUAGAUUUAACAAUUCUGGUUCUGAUUUUAACUAAGAAAAGAUUGGGAGUUAAUUAUCACUUACUUCUUCCCUUUUCCUUUUCACGCUAAGCAGCUUUAACCCCUUUUUCAUUCUCUCUGCAUUUCACCGACUCAUAAACAAAGGAAGCACACUCACAUGCACGGAGAAGAAAUCUAAGAAAGAGAGGCAGCGUCGAUGGAAGAGGAAGACGCGCUAGAACUGGUAGGUCGCGUUGCUGCUGUCGCUGCGCUCUACCCAACUGUCGUCGCCGUUCUGUGGGGCCGCCGCCAUCCCUGAGCUUACCACCGUUGCCCUUGUUGCCGAGCAAAAGGGAAAAAAGCCACGCGGCAGAAGAGAGAAGGAGGGAAGCUCACCGCGUCACAGUUGUCGCUCCCACCAUGUCGCGCCGCGAAGAGAGACGAGUUCGCGUAGGGAAGAGAGAAAUGCGUCCGAGAGAGAGAACGAGCACGAGAGGAAGGAGACAGCCGUUCUCAUCACUGCUAGAGGUUCCACCGCCGUUGUUGGUGCCAACCGAAGUCACCGCCGCCUUUGCAAGCUUUUUCCCAGCUGUUUUGGUUCUGGUCCUGCUGCAACUCGCCAAUGUUCCUACUCAUUUCUGACAUCUGUUCAGCCUUCGCCAGAGCUCGCCGUCGCCGGAGAAAUACUUCCGAAACUUCUCAAAUCCGCUGUACCAUUCUUGUUGCGCUCUGAUCGGUUUGAAUCCACCGCUUUUCUUGGUGUUGUGGUCAUUGUCGUUAUAACGGGGAGUUCAUGUUGUUGCUACUGUUGCAGUUCCAGUUGCUGCAGUUUCAAUUUCUGAGUUUCAAUACUAAGAAAUUUCAAAAACAUCUUCACACGUGCCACACCACCGGAAAAAUCGCGGAACCCUCUUCCCUGUCCUCUGCGGCCUCCGCAACCCCGUGCUGAAGCCUCAACCCACCUCGCGCCUCCGCGCCUCCGGGAACUCUGCAGCUGCAUGCAGGUAUACCCGGCGCAUCGGAAGCCUCCUGUUGCAGUUGCGCCUUCCGCUGGUGUUCCUCCAGUUCUCCAGCCCAGCAUCUUCUGAUCGUCUCACCAAUUAUCAAGUAAUAUAACCUCGGUGCAUCACUGGUGGUUGUCAAGAGUAUUAGCUGCAUCUUUUCCUAUUAUUCGGAAGUUUCAUCACAGUUUCCAUUAAAGGUUUAGGGGAUGUUUUCUGUGAGACCGUAGCAGGAUUGAUUUGCAGCAAAACCAACCAACAUGGGAAAAAAGAAAUUGUUAGAGUCCCGAUGCUCGCCCAGCUACAUACAUAACAUGAUGAGAACGCUAUCUGAAAAUAACUCCGUUGAGAAGCUUGCGGAGAUUGAUGAGAUCGGAUUUGGAUUCUUGAGGCAUGUUCCAAAUUGGUCUGUAAAGCAAGCCAUCAUGGUUCACCUGGCUGAGUCGUAUCAAGUAAAGCAGAGAACUUUUGUACUCGACAUAGGCAACAUCCGCCUCAAUGCUGAGUUAAUCGGGAAGGUCUUCGGCCUUCCGUCUCAAGGGGAUCCAUUUCCAGCUCUCGAUGAGAGUAAUCCAUCCCACGUGGCCAUUUAAAAAGGUUCCAUAGACGGACAACAACCGGGCUUCGGGAUUUAGUUUACAGUUGUCCAAUGGCCACGGAAUCAGAUAGGAUGGAGUUCAGGAGAUACUUUCUACUGGUGGUGAUGAAAAUGUUCCUGUGCCCCACCACUCAACAGGUUCUCUCUCCAUGGCACAUCUACGCCGUGUUAGAUGUUUCUGAUCUGCAGAGAUUCAACUGGCCGUUGGAAACUAUGAAGUGGUUUGACCAGGCAGUCGAAAAGUAUAAGCUGAAAGGGAACAAAACGUAUGAAGGCUGCAUGUUCGUCAUGCUGUUCUGUGUCGCUUUCUGGUCAGUGAUGAUCCCCUUUGGCGUAGUCCCAAUGCAUCUCACCCACUGCGUGAACACCCACUCGAAACUAGGGAUCUCCUCACUGCCAAGUAAAGCACAGCCAAGAAGAGUAGACUUCCCAUGGUGGUUUACACCAACAAAGGAUGCAAACGGUAGACCAUGCCUGAGAAUACAUCAAAAGCAAAUGUAAGGUAACAUGACAAAUUUAACAGAUAACUGCUCCUGCAAUUCACCAAUAAUUAUACAGACCUGUUUCUCCUGUACGUGGUGUCGAACGACACCACAUCUCCGUAAUAUUCAUACGAAGCCCUGCACCUUGCAUCUACCUAGAGUGCGCUCCUAAAUUUAUUAGCAUCGUCAACAUCUAUGGCAUAAAAGAAGUUGGGAUUGAUUUUCUUCAUUCGAACGAAAUAAUUCAUCAUCCCAUUGAAGUUCGCAUUGUCAUCGGAGCAUCGGAGAUUGCUUGUAAUGUAAUUUCUGACAUCCUUUUCUGAGAAACCCAGGUUUGAAGACCCACCAACUUCAUUUGCCAGUGCUAGAUACGUCUUGUUGGGUCUUAUGCCAGCCUCGUCAUUAUCCGUAAUGACGCACUUGGCAUGCAUGGUCAGCUCCCGGUACUCAUGAUAGUGGACAACUUUCUCAGCCGAACAGGGGGUGAGAAUGCCUCAAUUCUACCCUAGACACAACCCAACAUUCCUUCUCCCUGUCCAGCAAGACAUACAUUCUUGCUUUGCAUCUCAUGGCUGUUAUUCUGUUUGACCUAGUUGCUGCCUUAACACGAGAUUCUCGAUAACCCUCUCGAGUGCAGUGAAGAGAUUGAUUAAUGGGUAUCUUUGCGUCCUUCCGCAUCUUGUCGAAGUUCGUGUUCCUGACUUUAGUUACAAACCCCAAUUUCUUUGCAUAACUUGCAUAAAACUCCUGUGCCAAAUGCAGCGAAUCAAAUCUCAUUCCUAUGACUGGGAUUUCCUCUUCACUGAGCCCACUAUGAUCCGGCAACUGUAAAGCCAAUUCAUAGAACCAAAUACAAAUUAAAGAUAGUAUCAAAGUGGUAACUAUAACGUGCUAACACACAAUAAGAAAUACUUCAAACCUCGCGUCUUAAAUCCAACUCAUCAUUUCUCGUCACCAUUGCAUCGGUGAUUUCGUCGACCUUCAAUUAAAGACAAUCGGGACAAAACUUUAAUCCACUUAUGACCAUUACUAUAUAAUGAAGCAAUCCAAUAAAACAUAUCAACAAAUAAAUGGAAACACAUAUAGCACUCAAUCAGACUUUAUAACUAUCUCAAGUAAACAAAUUAUUUCUCCAAUUUUUUCCAAAAACUAGUCAUCUAAUUACCAUGAAUAAGAAGCCUUCACAACACACAUUUUAAUAAAAAAUUCUAUUUGGAAUUAAUGAAUCAUUAACAACAUGUGAUUGAUUGCAUGCAUUGUGACAUAGACGGACAACACAGUGAGAUUGAAAUGGAUCUUGGACUAUUCGCACAUUUAGGAGCAAUAUAAACUACCAAUAAUUUUGUCUUUUCCAACAUAGAUCUUACAUGUCUUCCACACAACCCAAUUAAUUUCCAUAUCUACUAUCUAUGUCUAUCUCUAUUGGAAUUUUUAGUAUCAAUGACAUUAGCUAAGCAUAGCCUUCUCCACAACCCAAUGUAUUCAAUUUCAAUCAUACCUUAUUAAUAUGUCCACUAGCAACGUCGGUGUGCCACAUUUUUUUCAAAGAAAUAAAUUUAAGAAACAUCUAAAAAACAUGGAAAAGAAACAUUCACACUUCAGGUUCUCAUAUAACAUCAUGCAAUUCAAGACUAACAUAUACAACAUACAACAUACCAAGGAACCCUCUUAAUUAACAACGCCAUCGUCAUUCAAUUCAUCAUUGCCUUCACUAGCAUUGAUCAUUGUGCUAUUCGGUUCCCCUUCCGGAAGUGAGCGUUCCAUGGAGAAUUUUUUUCCCGAAUA